UACGGAGGUGGCGAGCGUUGUCCGAAGUACUGGGCGUAAGGCGCGCGUAGGCGGGGGGAUUAAGUGAGAAGUGAAAGGCUGGGGCUCAACUCCAUGCAGUGCUUCUCAUACUGGUCUUCUUGAGGGGGGGUAGAGAGAAGUGGAAUGGCUGGUGUAGAGGUGAAAUUCGUAGAUAUUCGCAAGAACACCAGUGGCGAAGGCGGCUCACUGGCCCGAUACUGACGCUGAGGCACGAAAGCGUGGGGAGCAAACAGG
rnacentral:rRNA from 1 species